rnacentral:rRNA from 1 species
UACGUAGGGGACAAGCGUUAUCCGGAUUUACUGGGCGUAAAGCGCGCGCAGGCGGUCAUCUACGUCUGGGGUGAAAGCCCGGAGCUCAACUCCGGGACUGCCUUGGAUACGGGAUGACUUGAGGAUCGGAGAGGCAAGGGGAAUUCCACGUGUAGCGGUGAAAUGCGUAGAGAUGUGGAGGAACACCUGUGGCGAAGGCGCCUUGCUGGCCGAUUUCUGACGCUGAGGCGCGAAAGCGUGGGGAGCAAACAGG